UUUCGUACCCGCUCUUCUUCAAAUUGACAUAUUCCCAGUCCAAGAAGGUAUAUUUAUGGGGAGCGUGGUAAAGAAAUGCAAGCCAUUUGCUUUAUUAGAAGUCAAUGUACCACCAGAAUGAUUUUGAAACUGUUAUUUCAAGGAGUACCAGAGACUGGAGGUAGUUGGUCUUCAAAACGAAUGAGAGGCAUAUGAACUCUGAAUUACCUGCAGAGGAGCUCAGUGCUGGAUUGGAGGCAGCGUGGAGCAUCAGUGGUCUUCAUAAAAACAUGCAAACUUGGACAUUGGAUGUAUUCGCUGGAAUGAAGGUUCAUUUCUGUGGGAUAAUGUUCCAGACAAGACAUUUUACUUUUCAGAUCACCUGGGAAGGGAAGAUGAGAAAGUUUCUUCAUCUCUGCGGAGACCAGUGCCAGACUCUGAAGCUCAGCUUUUACAAUCUUCCACACUCAUCUCAAGCACAGUAUACUUGCUCCAUUUGAACCGAGUCUCCAGAGCAGCAGGGAUGGCGUACGCUAAGAGAUGUGAAAUUACAC